rnacentral:rRNA from 1 species
UACAGGGGGGGCAAGCGUUGUUCGGAAUUACUGGGCGUAAAGGGCUCGUAGGCGGCCAACUAAGUCGGACGUGAAAUCCCUCGGCUUAACCGGGGAACGGCGUCCGAUACUGGAUGGCUUGAGUUUGGGAGAGGGAUGCGGAAUUCCAGGUGUAGCGGUGAAAUGCGUAGAUAUCUGGAGGAACACCGGUGGCGAAGGCGGCAUCCUGGACCAAACUGACGCUGAAUAGCGAAAGCCAGGGGAGCAAACGGG